CAUGUACUCUGGAGAUACAGAACCAGAUGAAGCAAAACAUAUGGUUAUGCUUCUCUUCUAAUAUGCUUUUGAGAUUCAGAUGGGAAAUGGCUAAUAGAAUAAAAAAUUUAAAUGUGGAAUUGAAACUGAUAAAUUAUGAAGCUGAUUGCCAUGGCUUCCAGAUGAGAGUUGCAGAUUGUGCUCCUUAUUCACCUCCCUUGAGGGAAACUGACAGCAUAAGCUGUGAUCAUAUUGUUUUGGGAAGAGAUAACGAUGCAUUAAAAAUUGUGAAUAUGUGGACUAAGCCCAGUAAUGAAUAUGUUACCGUUAUUCUUAUUGUUGGAAUUGGGGGACUCGGAAAGGAAACUUUAGCUUACUUAAUAUUAAAUCAUCACCUAUAAAGAAGCAUUUCGACAAAAGGAUUGGGUUUGUGGAUCACAAAAUUUUGAUGAGAUAAAGAUUUUUCAGGGAGAUCUCUCGAAUGCUCAGAAGAAAAUUUUUGUGGAGAAAGUAGACAAGUUUGGGAUGAUUUCAAAAAUAUUAUUGCAUAAAGGAGAUUCCACUAUUGUGAAUGAAAGAGAUGCAAGUGUGCAUCAAUUAUCAAUCUGCGUGGUGAUCCAUAUUGCUAAGAGAAAUUGCUCGAAGAUGAAUGUUGGUCCAUAAUUAGGUCCAAUUGUGACAUCAAUUGUCAACUCAUAUAGUGAUCCAUAUUGCCAAGGGAAAUUGCUAGGUGAUGAAUGCUAGUAUAUAAUCAAAGCAAGGAUGAAUGCUGGUCUAUAAUCAAAGCAAGGAUGAAUGCUGGUCCAUAAUCAAAGCAAGGACAUUUGUAAGUGGAGAUGUACCCUAACUAUCAGCCGAGUAGUUUGAUAAUAAAUACGGAGGUCUAUCACUCAUAGCAAACAUAGUUUAGGGAGUUUCGUGAAAAAAGGGAAAGAGGAAUGGUCCUCUAUCCUACAAUCUAUUUCAAAUUCUGAAUGAGAUGAAGAUAGUUUCUUGCUAUAAAAGAAAGCUUUGAUUGCUUACCAUCUUCAUCACUUAAAAUAAUUAAAAAUAUAUAUAUUUUGCGUGCUGCUCAAUAUUUUUCAAGGAUUUUGAAAUAGAUAUAAAACAGUGAUUCCAGCUCUAGAUGACAGAAGGAUUAUCUUUCAGAUAAUCAACGAAGUGGUCUGGAAAUUAUAGCAAUAGAUAUUUUAUUAUUUUGUUCCAAAAUUCCUUCUUGCAAGAGGCAUUAAAGGAUAUUUAUGGCGACAUUGAAUUCGGUUUCAAAAUCAGAAAAAAAUUUUAAGGAGCAUUUCACUGGAGACAACAUUCCUCAAGUUAGAUAUUUUGCUGGGGGAAAAAAAUCAAUCAGAAUAGAAAUAUAAAGGAUCUCGAGAAUGAAAAGUGUUGUUUGCGUACAUUGUUUUUGCUGACAAAUAUACCUGGCAAAAUGUUGUUGGACCUUAACCAGUGCAUGGAGUAGGCAAAUGACAAUAGUAUUGUUUCCAGCACUUAAUAAUUUGUAUAUAUUAGUGAUGCGGAAAUCAGUUUGUAUCUCUAUGAUAUAUAACGACAAUCUCACCUCUUUUACAAAGCUAUGAAUAGAUUGGACAAGAGAGCUCACUUGUCUCCCUGACGGGUUGUUUUACAACAAUAAAAAUUGUCAGGAAUUCAACAUUUGGAGGUGCCAGUAUUGAAGGGAAAUAACAGAUGGUCUACACAGCCUCCAGCCUGUUGAGAUAUUGAGAAUAUGUGAACGCCCAAGUCUCCAUUGAGUUCAUAUCCAAGUGGACAAAAAGGUUCCACAUCCAUUAGACAUUCGGAAAUUGUAAUAUCCUAUGGAUUGAGCAGCCUGCCAAGUGAAAUGCUCAAGUAUACUUCUCUUGAGACUCUCAACGGGGAUGAGUGCAACAAUCUGCAUUCAUUUCCAAUAGAUUUGGGGGAAUGGCUUCUCUCACAUCCUUGUGAAUAAACAAAUUUCUAUGUCCCCAACUGACGAGUUUGCAGAAAGGGAAUGGCUUCUUAGCAGCUUGACUGAAUUAAGAGUUGGCCCAUUUUCAGUUGAAGUGGAUUUCAAUUCAUUCCAAGCAAUUCCUGACGGCAUAAAACUUCUUCUCUUUUCGUAGUACUUUAUUUAUAUGAGUGGUCUCACUGGAACACUCUGCCAUACCAGCUUUAGCAUGUCAAUGCGGUAACUGUGUUAGAUUUGUAUGAUUGUGGGAUUGAAGCUUUGCUUGAGCGGUCUGGGAACUUGUCAUCUCUUUAAAAUUGGAACUGUACAGGUAAGAAAAGCCAAGGCAUAUGCAUCUGAGGAAGCCAUUCAAUACCUCACCAAAUUACAAGAAUUAGAUAUUAGCCACUGUAUGCUAUUAAAGGAAGUCUGCACCAAAUAGAGGCCGUGAUUCUGAGUGGCGCAAAAUUUCUCAUAUUUGUGAUGUUCAUGGAGACUGAUUUAAUUUUAAUUUGCCUCCAUUUUUUGUGUUUUCUCGUGUCACAUUUUUAACUGGUUGCAUAUUAUGCUAAUAUGGAGCCCCCUCGCAUGUGCCGCUUCAGAUUAGAUGGUGGUGGUGGGCGAUUAUCACGACUAGCUUCAACGGCAGAAACAAUGGAUUCCUCAUCAACAACCAACAGAUGAUUGAAGAC